AUUGAACGCUGGCGGCAGGCUUAACACAUGCAAGUCGAGCGGGGUGAUGGUGCUUGCACUAUCACUUAGCGGCGGACGGGUGAGUAAUGCUUAGGAAUCUGCCUAUUAGUGGGGGACAACAUCUCGAAAGGGAUGCUAAUACCGCAUACGUCCUACGGGAGAAAGCAGGGGAUCACUUGUGACCUUGCGCUAAUAGAUGAGCCUAAGUCGGAUUAGCUAGUUGGUGGGGUAAAGGCCUACCAAGGCGACGAUCUGUAGCGGGUCUGAGAGGAUGCUCCGCCUCACUGGGACUGAGACACGGCCCAGACUCCUACGGGAGGCAGCAGUGGGGAAUAUUGGACAAUGGGGGGAACCCUGAUCCAGCCAUGCCGCGUGUGUGAAGAAGGCCUUAUGGUUGUAAAGCACUUUAAGCGAGGAGGAGGCUCUUUUGGUUAAUACCCAGAAUGAGUGGACGUUACUCGCAGAAUAAGCACCGGCUAACUCUGUGCCUGCCGCCGCGGUAA
rnacentral:rRNA from 1 species